rnacentral:rRNA from 1 species
CCUACGGGAGGCAGCAGUGGGGGAUAUUGCACAAUGGGGGAAACCCUGAUGCAGCGACGCCGCGUGUGGGAAGACGGUCUUCUGGAUUGUAAACCACUGUCCCCAGGGACGAAAAUGACGGUACCUGGGGAGGAAGCUCCGGCUAACUACGUGCCAGCAGCCGCGGUAAUACGUAGGGAGCAAGCGUUGUCCGGAAUUCCUGGGUGUAAAGGGAGCGUAGGCGGGGAUGCAAGUUGGGUGUCAAAACUACCGGCUCAACCGAUAGUCGCACUCAAAACUGCAGCUCUUGAGUGAAGUAGAGGCAGGCGGAAUUCCUAGUGUAGCGGUGAAAUGCGUAGAUAUUAGGAGGGACACCAGUGGCGAAGGCGGCCUGCUGGGCUGUGACUGACGCUGAGGCUCGAAAGUGUGGGGAGCAAACAGGAUUAGAUACCCCGGUAGUC